GUCGAGCGGUAAGGCCCUUCGGGGUACACGAGCGGCGAACGGGUGAGUAACACGUGGGUGAUCUACCUUGCACUUCGGGAUAAGCCUGGGAAACUGGGUCUAAUACCGGAUAUGACCUGAGGUUGCAUGACUUCGGGUGGAAAGAUUUAUCGGUGCGAGAUGGGCCCGCGGCCUAUCAGCUUGUUGGUGAGGUAACGGCUCACCAAGGCGACGACGGGUAGCCGACCUGAGAGGGUGACCGGCCACACUGGGACUGAGACACGGCCCAGACUCCUACGGGAGGCAGCAGUGGGGAAUAUUGCACAAUGGGCGCAAGCCUGAUGCAGCGACGCCGCGUGCGGGAUGACGGCCUUCGGGUUGUAAACCGCUUUUGACAGGGACGAAGCGCAAGUGACUGUACCUGUAGAAUAAGGACCGGCCAACUACGUGCCAGCAGCCGCGGUAAUACGUAGGGUCCGAGCGUUGUCCGGAAUUACUGGGCGUAAAGAGCUUGUAGGCGGUUCGUCGCGUCGUUUGUGAAAACUUGGGGCUCAACCUUAAGCUUGCAGGCGAUACGGGCGGACUAGAGUACUUCAGGGGAGACUGGAAUUCCUGGUGUAGCGGUGAAAUGCGCAGAUAUCAGGAGGAACACCGGUGGCGAAGGCGGGUCUCUGGGAAGUAACUGACGCUGAGAAGCGAAAGCAUGGGUAGCAAACAGGAUUAGAUACCCUGGUAGUCCAUGCCGUAAACGGUGGGUACUAGGUGUGGGGCUCCUUCCACGGACUCCGUGCCGUAGCUAACGCAUUAAGUACCCCGCCUGGGGAGUACGGCCGCAAGCUAAAACUCAAAGAAAUUGACGGGGGCCCGCACAAGCGGCGGAGCAUGUGGAUUAAUUCGAUGCAACGCGAAGAACCUUACCUGGGUUUGACAUACACCGGAAACCUGCAGAGAUGUAGGCCCCCUUGUGGUCGGUGUACAGGUGGUGCAUGGCUGUCGUCAGCUCGUGUCGUGAGAUGUUGGGUUAAGUCCCGCAACGAGCGCAACCCUUAUCUUAUGUUGCCAGCGCGUAAUGGCGGGGACUCGUGAGAGACUGCCGGGGUCAACUCGGAGGAAGGUGGGGACGACGUCAAGUCAUCAUGCCCCUUAUGUCCAGGGCUUCACACAUGCUACAAUGGCCGGUACAGAGGGCUGCGAUACCGCGAGGUGGAGCGAAUCCCUUAAAGCCGGUCUCAGUUCGGAUCGGGGUCUGCAACUCGACCCCGUGAAGUUGGAGUCGCUAGUAAUCGCAGAUCAGCAACGCUGCGGUGAAUACGUUCCCGGGCCUUGUACACACCGCCCGUCACGUCAUGAAAGUCGGUAACACCCGAAGCCGGUGGCCUAACCC
rnacentral:rRNA from 1 species